rnacentral:rRNA from 1 species
CCUACGGGAGGCAGCAGUGAGGAAUAUUCGUCAAUGGACGCAAGUCUGAACCAGCCAUGCCGCGUGCAGGAAGACGGCUCUAUGAGCUGUAAACUGCGUUUGUACGAGGGUAAACGCAGAUACGCGUAUCUGUCUGACAGUAUCGUACGAAUACGGAACGGCUAACUCCGGGCCAUCAGCCGCGGUAAUACGGAGGGUUCAAGCGUUAUCCGGAUUUAUUGGGUUUAAGGGGUGCGUAGGGGGUCGGAUAAGUUAGAGGUGAAAUCCCGAGGCUCAACUUCGGAAUUGCAUCUGAUACUGUGCGGCUAGAGAGUAGAUGCGGUAGGCGGAAUGUAUGGUGUAGCGGUGAAAUGCUUAGAGAUAAUACAGAACACCGAUUGCGAAGGCAGCUUACCGAGCUACUUCUGACGUUGAGGCACGAAAGCGUGGGGAGCAAACAGGAUUAGAUACCCGAGUAGUC